rnacentral:rRNA from 1 species
UUAGACAGCUAGGAUGUUGGCUUAGAAGCAGCCAUCAUUUAAAGAAAGCGUAAUAGCUCACUAGUCGAGUCGGCCUGCGCGGAAGAUGUAACGGGGCUGAAAUAUAGCACCGAAGCUGCGGCAUCAGGCGUAUCACUAAUACGCCUUACGAUUAACAAGCUAGAAUGGCGCGAAGCGGCAUGAAAGGUUGUUCAAGCAACCCGAACGUUGAGUCGGGCAUCUUAGAGUGAGGAUGAUUAGUGAUACGCCUGUUGGGUAGGGGAGCGUUGUGUAAGCGGAUGAAGGUUAAUCGAGAGGUUAGCUGGACGUAUCACAAGUGCGAAUGCUGACAUAAGUAACGAUAAAACGGGUGAAAAACCCGUUCGCCGGAAGACCAAGGGUUCCUGUCCAACGUUAAUCGGGGCAGGGUGAGUCGGCUCCUAAGGCGAGGCUGAAAAGCGUAGUCGAUGGGAAACAGGUUAAUAUUCCUGUACUUGGUAAAGCUGCGAUGUGGGGACGGAGUAGGUUAGGUUAUCGCACUGUUGGAUAUGUGCGUUUAAGUUGGUAGGUGGGAAGUUUAGGCAAAUCCGGACUUCCUUAACACAGAGAGAUGAUGACGAGGCUCUACGGAGCUGAAGUAACUGAUGCCACACUUCCAGGAAAAGCCACUAAGCGAAAGGCUUUACUAAACCGUACUGAAAACCGACACAGGUGGUCAGGUAGAGAAUACUCAGGCGCUUGAGAGAACUCGGGUGAAGGAACUAGGCAAAAUAGCACCGUAACUUCGGGAGAAGGUGCGCCGGCGUAG